rnacentral:lncRNA from 1 species
GGUGACGACGCGUAGGCACGCCGCCGGAGCAUGCUGCGGCGGACGCCGCCACGGACAGUUGUCCAAGUUCAAGGCCAAGUCCUGUCGCCCCGUCAUCCUUCUGCUUCACCGUCGAGGUACGCCCGCACACAGCUUAAUCGUGAAUAAAUAGAUUGUUUAGCAUUGGAUGAUUCUACUCGUAGUGAUUUUUCAGUACUGAAAUUAGAUGCGCGUGCCAAGUAAAUUUACAAGAAAAGGAUCUCGAUUGAUUUAAAAAAAACUGGGUUUUGUCUUAUUUACAUAUAUCUAAUUAAAUAGAGCUAAAUUAAGAACAAAGGGAUCUCUAUGAUUUACAAACCCAGUUAAAUUGAUCAAGGCUAGGAGCAGAACAACUUACAUUUUUCUUCGUUUUAUUUAUCCUGCAUUAGGGGAUCCCGAUGAUUUACAAACUCAGUUAUUUAUAAACCCAGUUAUUUAUUUGAGUGAUUUGACAGCUAAGUACAUCCUUGUUCUUUUCCUUUUGGAACGACUCAGUAGAUUUAUACAUGUCAAUAUCAUAUCCAUGUCUGUACUCCCUCUUUGGUUACAUCUGAUAUCGAUUGAGGUAUCAUAUAUUUCUAUACAACUGAUUCCAAUUGAUCUCCAACUAAGGUUCACAUAGAACUGACCCGGCAUGGUGGAUAGGCAACAAUGUCGUUGUGCAUUUAGCGACAUAUCAAACACUGUUGGAGAGGGUACGUUCAUUGAUAUCGUUCUAGCUCAGAUUCAGAGAUUUUUGUCUAGCAAAGCUGUGACACAGAUUAUAUAUCACAACAUAUGCAGAUGAAGAGACAAAAAUGAGGGAAGAGAGGAAUAGAAAACAAUGUGAAUACAGUGCACGGAAAAGGGCUGAACAAACCAUUGAACAGAGAGAAGAACAUAAUAGAAAGCAAUGUGAAUAUCGUGCAAGGAAGAAAACACUGGCAAUAUCAACGACUCCUAAUCAUGGUAUUCCUUAUCUGAACUGAUCAUGCUAUUCCUAAGAGGAAUUUGUUGCAGAAGAGGACCCCAAAAAUUUGAGACAAUGCAGAUUCUUGGUGAAGGUAACUCCUACUUAAAUUAUCAUUAUUGUUUGUAACCAUUUGGAGUGACUGCCAUAUUAACAGUUUUUGUUGUUGGACCUACAGAAAACUUGUCAACCAUUCCUUGCUUCUAAACAAUUCGCAACUUAUUUGUAGUAUCCGAGACAUGGCUUUAUUAUUUCCUAUUUAUUCAUGAGUGUAUUACGGAUUAUAUUAUAUGAAUGAUUAUAUGCAAUUGCCUGAGACUAAAAACUAUAAAAAAAACUAUCGUUGUUUCGUUAAAAAUGGAUGUUUUCAAGUGCAUCUCUAGAAUGAACCCGUAGCGUUAGCACGGGCACUAUACUAGUUAAUAGUAAUGAGCUAACCAUUAUAUGAGUGGACUGCAAGAAGGCAAUAAAGAAAUCUUACCGCUAGCAGCUGGCUGUAUUAUAACACUUGCUUAACACUUGCUUUAAUAAUGAUAGGUCUUUGUAGAAUUGUAGUUCAAGCUGGGCUCCCUGUUCGUCGCAGGUUGCGGUUGCACACGUACCAUGAAGCUAUGCGGUUGUGCGGUAGGGAUGAGUGAAGAGGCCACGAGGAUUAGGGAAUUUUGAUUUCUGAAUUGGGGAAUUGAUUUAGGUCUUGUUUAGUUUGUGAGAAUUUUUAGAUUUGGCUACUACAAUAUUUUUGUUUGUAUUUAGUAAUUAUUAUUCAAUCAUGGACUAAUUAGAUUUAAUAAAUUGUAUAAUUAGUUAUUUAUAUUUAAUAUUCUAUGUAUGUAUCUAAAGAUUUGAUGUGAUAGAGAAUCUUAAAUUUUUAAGAAUUAAACAAGGCCUUAGCUGUUGAGAAGAGGAGGAGAAAGGCAGCUAUGAAGGAUUAUCUUCCAAUGCAAACUUGUGGUGACUCGUGAGUGGCAAGCGAGUUACGUGCUUCCUAGAC